rnacentral:tRNA from 1 species
AAGAUAAAGUGCCUGAAAAUAGGGUCACCAUGAUAGGGUGGAUAAUGUGUAAUUAUACACCUUUAUUA